rnacentral:rRNA from 1 species
UAUUGGAUGUUAGUUAUCUACUUGGAUAACUGUGGUAAUUCUAGAGCUAAUACAUGCACGAAGGCUCGGACCUCGCGGAAAGAGCGCAUUUAUUAGAUCAAAACCAAUCGGGCUUCGGUCCGUGUUUUGGUGACUCUGAAUAACUCAGUUGAUCGCAUGGUCACUGUACCGGCGACGUAUCCUUCAAAUGUCUGCCUUAUCAACUUUCGAUGGUAGGUUAUAUGCCUACCAUGGUUAUAACGGGUAACGGAGAAUAAGGGUUCGACUCCGGAGAGGGAGCCUGAGAAAUGGCUACCACAUCCAAGGAAGGCAGCAGGCGCGCAAAUUACCCAAUUCCAGUACGGAGAGGUAGUGACGAAAAAUAACGAGAUAGUCCACUUACGUGGCCUGUCAUCGGAAUGGGAACAAUUUAAAUCCUUUAUCGAGGAUCUAUUAGAGGGCAAGUCUGGUGCCAGCAGCCGCGGUAAUUCCAGCUCUAAUAGCGUAUACUAAAGUUGUUGUGGUUAAAACGCCCGUAGUUGAUUUUUCGGCGUUGGACGACGGUAACUCUAACCGGUUUCACUGUCGCUCCGAGUCUGAUUUUGGGUUUUCUGUCGGUGCCCUUAAUUGGGUGUCGUCAGUGACUCGAACGUUUACUUUGAAAAAAUUAGAGUGCUUAAAGCAGGCUUUUACGCUUGAAUAUAGUGCAUGGGAUAAUGGAAUAGGACUUUGGUCUUAUUUUGUUGGUUUGGAAGGCUGAAGUAAUGAUUAAGAGGAACAGCCGGGGGCAUUCGUAUUGUUGCGCUAGAGGUGAAAUUCUUGGACCGCAGCAAGACGAACAACUGCGAAAGCAUUUGCCAGAAUGUUUUCAUUAAUCAAGGACGAAAGUUAGAGGUUCGAAGGCGAUCAGAUACCGCCCUAGUUCUAACCGUAAACGAUGCCAACUGGUUUUUUGCCGAUGUUAAACUAUGACACGGCAGGCGGCCUCCGGGAAACCAAAGUGUUCAGGUUCCGGGGGAAGUAUGGUUGCAAAGCUUAAACUUAAAGGAAUUGACGGAAGGGCACCACCAGGAGUGGAGCCUGCGGCUUAAUUUGACUCAACACGGGAAAUCUCACCCGGCCAGGACACAAUAAGGAUUGACAGAUUGAUAGCUCUUUCUCGAUUUUGUGGGUGGUGGUGCAUGGCCGUUCUUAGUUGGUGGAGCGAUUUGUCUGGUUAAUUCCGAUAACGAACGAGACUCUAGCCUACUAAAUAGACAUAGUAUUCGCACGUACUUUGUUCUUCUUAGAGGGACACGUGGCGUCUAGCUGCACGAGAUUGAGCGAUAACAGGUCUGUGAUGCCCUUAGAUGUCCGGGGCUGCACGCGCGCUACAAUGAAGGUAGCAGAAUGUGUCAAAACCGUGUCUGAAAGGACUCGGCAAUCACCAAUCACUUUUGUGCUUGGGAUAGGGAAUUGAAAUUAUUUCCCUUGAACGAGGAAUUUCUAGUAAGUGCGAGUCAUAAGCUCGCGCUGAUUACGUCCCUGCCCUUUGUACACACCGCCCGUCGCUACUACCGAUUGAAGGUUUCAAUGAAACACAUGGAUUGGGCUCAGGCUGAUUUAACCGUUGGUUUGAUGCCCGAAAAGUGCGUUGAA